ensembl:lncRNA
CCCUCUCUCCCUACUGUCCCGUAGUCUCUCCCCUCAGUCUCUUCCCUCUCUCCCUACUGUCCCGUAGUCUCUCCCCUCAUCUCUCCCCUCAGUCUCUUCCCUCUCUCCCUACUGUCCCAUAGUCUCUCCCCUCAGUCUCUCCCCUACUGUCCCAGUCUCUCCCCUCAGUCUCUUCCCUCUCUCCCUACUGUCCCGUAGUCUCUCCCCUCAUCUCUUCCCCUCACUCCCUUCCCUCACUCCCUUCUGUCCCGUAGUCUCUCCCCUCAGUCUCUUCCCUCUCUUCCUACUGUCCCAUAGUCUCUCCCCUUAGUCUCUUCCCUCUCUCCCUACUGUCCCAUAGUCUCUCCCCUCAGUCUCUUCCCUCUCUCCCUACUGUCCCGUAGUCUCUCCCCUCAGUCUCUUCCCUCUCUCCCUACUGUCCCGUAGUCUCUCCCCUCAGUCUCUUCCCUCUCUCCCUACUGUCCCGUAGUCUCUCCCCUCAGUCUCUUCCCUCUCUCCCUACUGUCCCGUAGUCUCUCCCCUCAGUCUCUUCCCUCUCUCCCUACUGUCCCGUAGUCUCUCCCCCC